AGUGAACGCUGGCGGUAGGCCUAACACAUGCAAGUCGAACGGAAGCACAGUAAGAGCUCGCUCUUACGGGUGGCGAGUGGCGGACGGGUGAGGAAUAGAUCGCCAUCUACUUUUUCGUGGGGGACAACGUAGGGAAACUUAUACUAACACAUAAUAUGUCCUACGGGUGAAAGCAGUGGUUAUUCGGAGUUUUGCCGUUUGAUUUAGACGAUGUCGGAUUAGGUUGUUUGGGGGGUAAAGGCCCUACAAGGCGACGGUCCGUAGCUGGUCUGAGGGGAGGAUCAGCCCCACUGGAACUGGAGCACGGUCCAGACUCCUACGGGAGGGAGCAGUUGGGAAUAUUGGAGAAUGGGCGCAAGCCUGAUCCAGGCAUACCGCGUGGGUGAAGAAGGCCUUCGGGUUGUUAAACCCUUUUGUUGAGAAAGAAAAGCAGCAGGUUAAUACCCCGCUGUUCUGACGGGACCCAAAGAAUAAGCACCGGCUAACUUCGUG
rnacentral:rRNA from 1 species